ACGUCUGGAAGGCUGUGGUCUAAGUCCUUUUUUGCUGGCUAUAAGCGGAGCCUCCAGAACCAAAGGGAGCAUACAGCUCUUCUUAAAAUUGAAGGUGGUUAUGCCCAAGAUGAAACUGAAUUCUAUUUGGGCAAGAGAUGUGCUUGUGUAUACAAAGCAAAGAGCAACACAAUGAUUCCUGGCAGCAAACCAAACAAAAGCAGAGUAAUCUGGGGAAAGGUAACCCGGGCCCACAGGAACAGUGGCAUGGUUGCUGCCAAGUUCCAUAGCAAUCUUCCUGCUAAGGCC
rnacentral:lncRNA from 1 species